AGUGAACGCUGGCGGUAGGCCUAACACAUGCAAGUCGAACGGCAGCACAGAGGAGCUUGCUCCUUGGGUGGCGAGUGGCGGACGGGUGAGGAAUACAUCGGAAUCUACUCUGUCGUGGGGGAUAACGUAGGGAAACUUACGCUAAUACCGCAUACGACCUACGGGUGAAAGCAGGGGAUCUUCGGACCUUGUGCGAUUGAAUGAGCCGAUGUAGGAUUAGCUAGUUGGCGGGGUAAAGGCCCACCAAGGCGACGAUCCGUAGCUGGUCUGAGAGGAUGAUCAGCCACACUGGAACUGAGACACGGUCCAGACUCCUACGGGAGGCAGCAGUGGGGAAUAUUGAACAAUGGGCGCAAGCCUGAUCCAGCCAUACCGCGUGGGUGAAGAAGGCCUUCGGGUUGUAAAGCCCUUUUGUUGGGAAAGAAAUCCAUCUGGUUAAUACCCGGGUGGGAUGACGGUACCCAAAGAAUAAGCACCGGCUAACUUCGUGCCAGCCGCCGCAGUAA
rnacentral:rRNA from 1 species